rnacentral:rRNA from 1 species
CUGCUGGGCGGAGCCUGAUCCAGCAACGCCGCGUGAGGGAUGACGGCCUUCGGGUUGUAAACCUCUUUCAGUACCGACGAAGCGAAAGUGACGGUAGGUACAGAAGAAGCACCGGCCAACUACGUGCCAGCAGCCGCGGUAAUACGUAGGGUGCGAGCGUUGUCCGGAAUUAUUGGGCGUAAAGGGCUCGUAGGCGGUUUGUCGCGUCGGGAGUGAAAACACUGGGCUUAACUCAGUGCUUGCUUUCGAUACGGGCAGACUAGAGGCAUGCAGGGGAGAACGGAAUUCCUGGUGUAGCGGUGAAAUGCGCAAAUAUCAGGAGGAACACCGGUGGCGAAGGCGGUUCUCUGGGCAUGUCCUGACGCUGAGGAGCGAAAGUGUGGGGAGCGAACAGGAUUAGAUACCCUGGUAGUCCACACCGUAAACGUUGGGCGCUAGGUGUGGGGCCUAUUCCAUGGGUUCCGUGCCGCAGCUAACGCAUUAAGCGCCCCGCCUGGGGAGUACGGCCGCAAGGCUAAAACUCAAAAAAAAUUGACGGA